AGAAACCUGUCACCACCCCCCCUUCCCCGGUGCACCUGCUGCUGCGCCGAGCCUGCGCCCGGGGAUCGCCCGCGAGGGAGUCUAGCCUGGCGGGCUGGGCUGCCAUCUGCUAGGUGCCUAGGCACGGGGGUCCGUCCAGCCGCUCUGGGCCGCGGCUCGCCAUGUCCGUCUCACGAGCCAUUUUUAUUAUGGUAUCCAAAAAGCCGCCAGCGAAGUGCGGGUCCCGUUGUGCUCGGGGCUUUACCAACACGCAGGGUCCCGCGGAUCCCCCUUCCCCGCAUUGUGCUUCGCGCGCGUGAAUAGCUCCCUUGCAAUCAGCUGGGCAGGACUGCCUACAGCCUGAGAGUUGAGGACAUGCUGUGUAAGGUUGGAGGUCCCUGCAACGGGCCCCGCAAUCUAAGGCUCUGAUCCUGCAAACAUGGAUCAGGGGUGUCUGCUGGUGACUCUUCUGAUGUUUUGUGAACAGCUUCAGCCCAUGUUUGCCAACGAGACUUCUGUGGGUUGUGGUUCAGCCAUAUGACCCUUGGAACUAGGUCUUCAGAUCACAUUGCCAAUCCUUCCAGCAGAGGAGAGCUGAACAUGGUUCCUUCCUUGAGCUAGCUGGAGAGUUUGGAAGCCCCUUCUUAUGGGCUGAUCAUAUUACCUCUGGUCCCAGUUCCUGCUGCCCUGGACAAGAACUACUAUCGUUGAGUAGUAGGGCUUUGCACUGUGACUAAAUCACUGAGUUAAUCCAUGUGUCUUUGUUUUACUAAUGUCUCCAUCAAGGCUUGAACUAAGGGGGAAACAGUGGGACUAUUCCAGCAAGCUCUGUCCACAAAAUAAGUUCCACCCAUAAAUUACAAAAUGUGACAUCACUUGCAGUAAAUUGUACAGUUACUCAAAAUAUAAAUAUGCAUACCCUCAACUCCACUGAGUUCCUUGAGAUUGGUGGAGCUUGAAUAUGGCUCUGGGGUUUUCUUGGAUUUGGCUUCCCCUUGGUGGAGCUCAGAUACCCUGCUUGGUUUGGUUUGGCUCAUUCUUGAUUUGGAGGGGGAGGGGGGAACGUGGUGUAAUCUCCCAGCGCCACCCACUCUUGGUAACAAAAUGGGUUGUAAAUCAAAGUAAAAUGUUCAGAUCUAUGAUUAUCUUCCCUCUCUUUUCUUACAGGAGGAAUGAAAUAUUUAACAUUAACAUUUAAAUCAUCAUCACUAGAUAUCUACUUUAAUGCAGAUUUCCCAUGACCCAUAACAAGGUUGAUAUCUUCUCAU